rnacentral:lncRNA from 1 species
AAGGUGAUAAGGGCUCUGGAAAAGAGCAGGUUGGGAGGAUCAGGACCUGGGAGGUGGAUUCAGUUUUACAUCAGGAGGUCAGAACAAGCUCCAUUAAGGAGCAGACUUUGAGAAAAGACUGGAAGGAGGUGAGGGAGUGACCAAGUGGACAUCUAGGGGAAUAGCUUUCUUGGCAAAGGUGAUAGCUGUGUAAUGCCCCUCGGGGGACCACGCCUGGUGUGUUCCAAGAGCAGGAGGCCAGGGUGGCUGGACAGAUGUGAGCACAGGCAAGAGAAGUAAGAGCUUCUGAGAUCAGAGAGGUAACAGGGAGCCAGAUCAGGUCCAUCCUGACCUACAGUCUCGGGAUGCCAGAACCCAAAGGGGCCUCGGACACUGUGUGGUAACCCACCGCUUGCCGGACAGAGAUCUAUCCGGGCCCUCACAACAGCUGUGAUGUGUUCUUCCUCCAGCGCCCCACUGACGGAUUAGGGGACCAGCCCAGACUCCCAGCCGGGGCAGGAAGCCUCGUCUUCCCUCAGUCAGGUCAAGAAGCAUUCUUGAGCACCUUCCAGGGGACGUCAGUGCUGGUCCACAAAAGAUGAGUAAGACACCGGCCUUGCCCUCGAGGGAGUCCCUGACUAUAAGCAGACUGUAACAAGUGUUAUUCUAGAAGCACAGAGAGCUUUGGCAUCAGGGAGAGCCUCAGACCAGGAUCCUGGGCCUGGGAGAUGCAGAAGCUGUGAACGGGUGGAGGGGAGGAGUGCACCCAAGGGCACUUCCAGCUAUGAGUGGAGCUUGACGUCAAGAGCAACCACAGUCUUGCCAGCUGAAGGAACCAGAGGUCAGAGUUCAGGGCUGUUAGGUAGCUGGAAGUUUAAAAGGAAAAUCUGGAAGCAUGGGA